ensembl:lncRNA
GCCAAGUGUGACCCACCGGAACCCAGAAGCCGGGUUCUGACUCCACCAUCGGAGGACGUGGAGGAUGCCGGGGCACAGGUGCGCCGCUGUGCAGGAGGAAGAUGUGGAACACAGACCAGAGAGCUCGCUCAGAGCGGGACCAUCUUUAAGUGAGUGAGCGCCGCGCAGUGAAGUCAUGGUCUGAAUGCGCAUUUGCAGGUGGAUAAAACCCAGAGAGGGCCUGGAGGUGCCCUGCGGCCGCGCUGCUUUCGGACACAUUUAGGGAGCUUUUGCUGGACUGAGAGGGGAGACUCUAGUGGGCUCCCCAGGCCCACUGCACCCUGGCUCUUCUCAGCAUUGUCACCCCUUCCUGUCAAUAACCUCGUCCCUGGACAGCUGUGCAACUGUGGUUUCAUCCUGGGACAACCACCUGCCCAAUUUCAACCAAGGGGAUGAAAACCGUUACAAGACUCCCCAAAGCUCCCUCACAUGGGAUAAAAGGCUGAGAAAUGAGGAAGGGCUUGUUGGGAUCCAGGGGCUGGUCCCCAAGGGGAGGGGGAGGGGACCAUCUGCUUGUCUCCAGUCGGGGCUGUGAGGAGCUGCUGGAAGAGUUUAACCUGUGAUCCCGCAGUUUGAGAGACAUAGGGGCUGGUCUCAGAGUCAAGCCUGAAAAAUCAGAGUGAGUGACAGGCUGGCUGGAGCCCAAGUGGGUCACGGCGAAGGAUGCCAGCAAGGUUUGCCACAGACCAGACGGUGGCCAGACAGGAGCCUGGGGCCAGAGGUGCUUUCGGCUCCUGUGGGAGGAGGACAGCACUGAGGGGCUGCAGGCGAGGCUGGCUGCCCAGGGCCUCCUUGGUAAGCAGCCCAGGUGGACAGAGCCACAUCCUCCCUCCUUCAGGGUCUGCAGGCCAAAGGGGACAGCAAAGCACCUGGGGGAUGGGAGGCGAAUGUCCUCAGAAGUCAUGGAAACACCUGUCUGAGGAAGAGGCAGCUUCCCACCUCUGCCAGUGCCCCUCACACCACAGGACCCAUCUGGAAAAACCCCACCCUGCCGUUCCUUCCUCUUUCCUGGUUCACCCUGGGAGGGUCAGAAACUGCACUGGCAAGAAGGGGCCUGAAGAAGAGUGGAGGAGCCCACCACGCCCCCUCCUGGGCUGCAGCAGACUGAGCCGUGGGGGUGGGAGGGAGCAGGGUAGACGGGACUGAACAGGGGAUCCAGUCUCCAUGACCUAGGAACACCUGACAGCUGGCCCUCCUCUGCAUCCAGGAUAAGAACCAGCCCCAAGAGUGAGUUAAAGGGACAGACGGAAAUUCAAAUGCAGCUGCUUUCGGACUGCUUUGCACAAGUCCCCCUGAACAUCACAGGCUGUUGGAAGGGCCAGGCUGGUAGGAAAAGUGGAAGCAACUUUCCUCUUUCCCCCUCCUGCCUCUUCAAAUGCCAAGCAGAGUCCCUCCCGCCCACUCCUGGGUGACGUCUCAGCUUAUCUGCUCCCAGCAGCCCUGUCCUACAGAGAGAGCGGGAGCCAGCUGUGCAGACCUGAGUGUCAACAUUCUGGGAGCCACAGGAGAAAAAGCAGAACGGAAAGGACACACAGUUCAGCCAUGCUGAGGAAUUGGGGCUCCAUCCACAAGAAGAGGAAGCCAUCGAAAGUCUUCAUUAGGAGAGAGAGACAUGUUCCAAUUUGUGUUUUGGGAAAAAACAUUCUGAGUCGAGUGUAGUGGAUAUAAGAGGGCACGAGGAUGAGAUGGGAAAACAGAGGAUAGAGAUGCCACCUGAAAUUGAGCCUGGAAGUUUCCAGAAGAAGUUUGUUGAAUCCUGGGUUACAGCAGUUAAGCCCCCACUCACUGAAUAAUGCAAGUUCCCUUUGGUAAGGACCACACCUGUAUGACAAUGUAAGCACAAGCUGUGAACUUUUGGAUGUCUGACACAGCUUAGGCCAAUUCUUUUUCCUUCUCCUUACCUGAUGUGGACUUGAGAGAGAGAGGAAUUUUUUGAAAACAAGAGAAAUUUGAUAGCCAAGUGUAAGACUUUGGUUUAGAAACUUUCCCUCAAUUAAAUAAACUCAGUGGUCUGAAAUGACUGUAUUGAUGAAGUGUUUCUUUCCACCUUAGAAACUGAUCAUCCAUGCCCUUCAUGGAAUGUGUCUUUGUAACCACAAUGACUCAGUUUAUCUGAUUAAGAGGGGUUAUGACUAUGGCUACUUUAGCUAAAACAGAGGCAUUAUUAGAAGGUGCAAGCAAACAGUGAGCACUGCAAACAUGGAUUUCAUCAUGGAAAAUCAGAAUACCUUCUCUGAUCUUUUC